rnacentral:lncRNA from 1 species
AUGCCCCUAGAUGUACAGAAAUACUUAUUUGAAAUAACUUUAUAUAAGGCCCAAGCUGAUUCCUACCACAGCAAGCAAAGUAGGGAGAGACUUAAACUAAGAGGGUUUAAAUUAAGCGCUUGGAACAUCUCCUGUAGUCUUUUCCACAGAUCCUUGUGUAACGGCUGUUCACAUUAUACCAUUAUACACAAGGAGAAGACUGAGUUCCCAGAGGUGAAGGGGCUGCUGAUGGUCCAGGUCCUUCAGGUAGCAAGAACUGAGAGAAAAAUAAAACAGAUCCCAGUGUCUCUGAAGACAGCAACAAAUGAAAACAACUCUAUAAUCUAAUGCCUCCGAAACAUACAUACAAGGAGAAAAGGUCAGUUUUCAUGAGAGAGGGAUAAACCACACCAACAAAAAAAUGUAGCUCUGAAUCUUAACGGUCUGCUUCUGUGAGUGUUUACCCUAAAAUAUGGAACAUAGAAUUCUAAAUAAUGUCUUUCAUGUAAAUAGAAUUUUUGCUACUGCACUCAUUCCUCCUUAUCGUCUAUCAUGGCAUCAAAUAUUUGCAAAAUUAAGGUCAUAGAAACCACCCAUUCGUAAACUAGCAACUGACAAAAGUAUGCUUUUUUCACUCAGGCUAAACUAGUUUUCAUGUCAACAGGAUGUUAUUCAAUUAAAAAAUUAUUAAUGGUCUGUUGCUUUUUUAACUGUUCUCUGAAAUUUAAUGGAGAUUAAUAUCUCUUUUGCAGUACUGCUUUGAGAAAACUACGGAAAUAAUAUUGUAUGUAGGCUGUAACAAAUGAGAACUAAUAAAAGAACAGUAUUACCAGAACA